rnacentral:rRNA from 1 species
UUCAUUCAAAUUUCUGCCCUAUCAACUUUCGAUGGUAGGAUAGGGGCCUACCAUGGUUUUUACGGGUAACGGGGAAUUAGGGUUCGAUUCCGGAGAGGGAGCCUGAGAAAUGGCUACCACAUCCAAGGAGGGCAGCAGGCGCGCAAAUUACCCAAUGCCGACACGGCGAGGUAGUGACAGUAAAUAACAAUGUGGGGGCGUAUGCCUUCGCAAUUGGAAUGAGUACAAUUUAAAUCCCUUAACGAGUAACGAUUGGAGGGCAAGUCUGGUGCCAGCAGCCGCGGUAAUUCCAGCUCCAAUAGCGUAUAUUAAAGUUGUUGCAGUUAAAACGCUCGUAGUCUGAUGUAAUGGGUUCUUUGCUGGGGAGCAGCAAUGUUCUUUGGUGCGGGGCCCAUCAGUGGGACAGCAAUGUCCCGGUUUACUUUGAGGAAAUUAGGGUGUUCAAAGCAGGCGAAUGCUUGAAUACUGCAGCAUGGAAUAAUGGAAUAGGACUCGCGUCUUAUUUUGUUGGUUUGGAGAUGUGAGUAAUGAUGAAUAGGGACAGUUAGGGGCAUUGGUAUUCAGUAGUCAGAGGUGAAAUUCUUGGAUUUACUGAAGACUAACUAGUGCGAAAGCAUUUGCCAAGGAUGUUUUCAUUGAUCAAGAACGAAAGUUAGGGGAUCGAAGACGAUUAGAUACCGUCGUAGUCUUAACCAUAAACGAUGCCGACUAGGGAUCGGCGGAGGACGUUUAGCGUUGCCGCCGGGACCUUGCGAGAAAUCAAAGUUUUUGGGUUCUGGGGGGAGUAUGGUCGCAAGGCUGAAACUUAAAGGAAUUGACGGAAGGGCACCACCAGGAGUGGAGCCUGCGG